UACGUAGGCGGAUGGCCAAGUAUCUUGUGAAAUCCCUCGGCUCAACCGAGGAAUUGCAGGGUAAACUGGUCGCCUUGAGGCAGGUAGAGGUAACUGGAACUCAUGGUGGAGCGGUGGAAUGCGUAGAUAUCAUGGGGAACGCCAAAGGUGAAGACAAGUUACUGGGCCUGACCUGACGCUGAGGUACGAAAGCGUGGGUAGCAAACAGGAUUAGAUACCCUGGUAGUCC
rnacentral:rRNA from 1 species